rnacentral:rRNA from 1 species
GACGAACGCUGGCGGCGUGCCUAACACAUGCAAGUCGAGCGAGAUUAUCUUCGGAUAGUCUAGCGGCGGACGGGUGAGUAACACGUGGGUAACCUGCCUCAUAGAGGGGGAUAGCCUCCCGAAAGGGAGAUUAAUACCGCAUAAUUUGACACUGGCGCAUGCCAGAGUCAGUAAAGGAGUAAUCCGCUAUAAGAUGGACCCGCGGCGCAUUAGCUAGUUGGAGAGGUAACGGCUCACCAAGGCGACGAUGCGUAGCCGACCUGAGAGGGUGAUCGGCCACAUUGGAACUGAGAUACGGUCCAGACUCCUACGGGAGGCAGCAGUGGGGAAUAUUGCACAAUGGGCGAAAGCCUGAUGCAGCAACGCCGCGUGAGUGAAG